ACCCAAACAAAAUCACCCUCUCCUUCGUGUGCGUGUGUGUCUGUGUGUCUGUGUUCAUGCAGCGAAACCAACUUCCUCUCUGUCUGUGUGUUUGUGUAGAACUGGAUCACUCGGGGUCAGCCCAAAUCCUUCUGGAUCUCUGGACUAUUCUUCCCUCAGGGCUUCCUCACUGGGGCGCUACAGAACCACGCCAGGACCUAUAACCUCCCCAUCGACGAGCUCAACUUCCGUUUUAACGUGUUGCCGGUCUACCUAGACCAGGGGGCCGUGAGCGAGGCGCUGAAGACCCUACCGGCCGGGGGCGAGCUGGACAUGGACUCUGAGCUACCCACCAUCAACGACGGCGUGCUGGUGCACGGGAUGUUCAUGGACGCCAGUCGCUGGGACGGCGCCGACAUGGUGAUCGAGGACG